CGGUGCCUAAUACAUGCAAGUCGAACGCAUUCGUGGUUGAAAUGAUAUGAAGAACUUGUCAGAUUUGAUUUUCAACAUUGCAAUGAGUGGCGAGCGGGUGAGUAACACGUGGGAAACUACCUCUUAGCAGGGGAUAACAUUUGGAAACAAAUGCUAAUACCGUAUAAUAAUUAAAACCGCAUGGUUUUAGUUUAAAAGAUGGUCUUGCUAUCACUAAGAGAUGGUCCCGCGGUGUAUUAGUUAGUUGGUGAGGUAAUGGCUCACCAAGACAAUGAUACAUAGCCGAGUUGAGAGACUGACCGGCCACAAUGGGACUGAGACACGGCCCAUACUCCUACGGAGGCAGCAGUAGGGAAUCUUCCACAAUGGACGAAAGUCUGAUGGAGCAACGCCGCGUGUGUGAUGAAGGGUUUCGGCUCGUAAAACACUGUUGUAAGAGAAGAAUGACAUUGAGAGUAACUGUUCAAUGUGUGACGGUAUCUUACCAGAAAGGAACGGCUAAAUACGUG
rnacentral:rRNA from 1 species